UUAAAAACGAUAUGUUUCGCAUGUCGACAUUUUUCACCGUUUUCUGACCUUUUAGAGACUCAACAGAAGAUAACUGACAGUAAAAAUAGAAGCUAGCUGCAGCUCUAACAGCAAAAUGUUUCUUUAAUCUUCAAAUUAAGAAUUUUAUUCUCAGUAACAAGUGAAAAUUAAUGGUCCCGGUUUGCCUUGAUAACGAGUGUAGAGUUUAAUAUUUACUGUUUAAAACCCUCCAACUGAUGCUUCAGUCCAGAAAAUUAUCAACAGAUGUGAGAAAAAUCAUCAACCGCAGCUCUGGUUGGUUUAGAGAUAAAGAAAUGAAACUUCAGAGCUUCUGUCAGACUGUUACUGAAGUUAAAUGUCUCCUGGAGUUUCCAACAAACACGUUAAAGACUUAAAGCUGCUCUGAUCAGUUUAGACCAAACUAAUCGAUUGUUCUAUGAAAUAAUCAGCAAUCUACAGUGAAAAUAAUCGUUAGCAGCAGCUCCACCACCUCCGAAGAAACAAGAAAAUUAACUUUAAACUUUUCAUUUUUUAAAUUAAUGAACAUUAAAAUCUUAGCAUCAGAUGUUCUGUCGGACUUUUCCUCAAUUUAAAACGUCUCCUGGAGUUUCUAACAAACACAUUAAAGACUUAAAGCUGCUCUGAUGAGUUUAAAUCUGGACGCUGUUUACGUUGAGUCCACACGGUUCUCACUACAUUCGUCUCCGUAGACCAGCGACGAUUCAUUGUUCUCGUUCCUCUGUCUGACGGCCGUCGUCCCGUUUAAGGCGGACCAGCGAGCGGUCGUCCUAUCUACUGUACUGUUGUUGACUUGUUCAAGGAUUUGUGUUUUUUUGCAGACUCGUUGUGUAUUUUAUUUGUACCGUUCUGAUAAACGCUGGUUUGGGGCUGGUUUCGUGUUUCCGUCGCUCCGAUCCUCCGGUCGAGUCUUGGGUUUCCGGACCUUUCUGGGUUGAACUGUUGUGAAGGGGCUCUGUGUAAAUGUCUAUAAAUAUAUUUUUUUGUAUGUAAGCCUUUCCUAAUGACCUGGAGAAGAUAGAAGUUAUUUUUAUAUAUUGCAGCGGAGUUUUUGUAAGUAUUUUAUACUUUUGAUAUGGUUCUCUGUAAAACAAGAGUAUUAUGUAAAUAUAGUUCUUUAGAAACAACUUGGUUUCUGUGUGUUUGUGUCUCUGUGUGGGUUUUUUCAUAAAUAAACUGAAUAUCAGGUGGAUGCUGUAUAUAUUAAUGUAAAAAGUACCAUAAAACUGGAUGUUAUUGUCAAAAACGUACCAUAAAACUGGAUAUUAAUGUCAAAAAGUACAACAAAACUGAAUAUUAAUUGUAAAAAAGUACCACAAAACUGGAUAUUAGUGUAAAAAAG
ensembl:lncRNA